CCUGCCUCUAGAGGUGUCACGGGUGAGACUGAUGUGUCUUCUGUGUGUCAGUAGGUGUUACAGAAGAGAGAGGCUGUGUCUAUGCUCAGUGUGUUCUGACCUGUGAAUAUCUGAUAGCUUAGUUGCCUAACAUU
ensembl:snoRNA Gm22671 small nucleolar RNA SNORA17